CAGUAGUCAUAUGCUUGUCUCAAAGAUUAAGCCAUGCAUGUCUAAGUACAAGCCUCACUAAGGUGAAACCGCGAAUGGCUCAUUAAAUCACACCUAAUCUACUGGAUAGUUAACAGUUACUUGGAUAACUGCGGUAAUUCUGGAGCUAAUACAUGCACAAAGCCUCGAACUUACGUGAGAGGCGCUUUUAUUAGAUCAAAACCAAACGUUUUCGAACGUUUUCUUGGUGACUCUGAAUAACUUUGGGCUGAUCGCAUAGCCUAGCGCUGGCGACAUAUCCUUCGAAGGUGUGCCCUAUCAACUGUCGACUGUGGCAUAGACGCCCACAGUGGUUUUGACGGGUAACGGGGAAUCAGGGUUCGAUUCCGGAGAGGGAGCCUUAAAAACGGCUACCACAUCUAAGGAAGGCAGCAGGCACGCAAAUUACCCAAUGACCGAAGGUCGAGGUAGUGACGAAAAAUAACGAUACGGGACUCUUCCGAGGCCCCGUAAUCGGAAUGAGUACACUUUAAAACCGUCCCCGAGGAUCUAUUGGAGGGCAAGUCUGGUGCCAGCAGCCGCGGUAAUUCCAGCUCCAAUAGCGUAUAUUAAAGUUGUUGUGGUUAAAAAGCUCGUAGUUGGAUCUCGGCAGUCUGAGGUUGGUGUACUUGCUAGUACUACUGCCCUAUAGACUGUAGUUUUGCCAGAGGUGCCCGGGUGCUCUUAAUCGAGUGUCCUGGUAUGCUGGCAGGUUUACUUUGAAAAAAUUAGAGUGCUCAAAGCAGGCUUUUACGCCUGAAUAUUCGUGCAUGGAAUAAUAGAAUAGGAAGUCGUUUCUAUUUUGUUGGUUUUCGGAAAUCGACUUAAUGAUUAAUAGGGACAGUCGGGGGCAUUUGUAUUCAAACGACAGAGGUGAAAUUCUUGGACCGUUUGAAGACAAACUACUGCGAAAGCAUUUGCCAAGAAUGUUUUCAUUAAUCAAGAACGAAAGUUAGAGGUUCGAAGGCGAUUAGAUACCGCCCUAGUUCUAACCAUAAACGAUGCCAGCUAGCGAUCUGCCGACGUUUUUUUUGUAGACUCGGCAGGAAGCUUCCGGGAAACCAAAGCAUUUGGGUUCCAGGGGAAGUAUGGUUGCAAAGCUGAAACUUAAAGGAAUUGACGGAAGGGCACCACCAGGAGUGGAGCCUGUGGCUUAAUUUGACUCAACACGGGAAAUCUCACCAGGCCCGGACACUGGAAGGAUUGACAGAUUGAUAGCUCUUUCUUGAUUCGGUGGGUGGUGGUGCAUGGCCGUUCUUAGUUGGUGGAGUGAUUUGUCUGGUUAAUUCCGAUAACGAACGAGACUCUGUCCUGCUAAAUAGUGUCGGCUUCUCUUUUGAGCCGAUAAUUCUUCUUAGAGGGACUGGCAACUCUCAGUUGCACGAGAUUGAGCAAUAACAGGUCUGUGAUGCCCUUAGAUGUUCUGGGCCGCACACGCGCUACACUGAAUAGAUCAGCGUGUUCUCCCUUUCUGAGAAGAACGGGUAAACCGCUGAACCCUAUUCGUGGUAGGGAUCGGGGCUUGCAAUUGUUCCCCGUGAACCAGGAAUUCCCAGUAGGCGCAAGUCAUAAGCUUGCGUCGAUUACGUCCCUGCCCUUUGU
rnacentral:rRNA from 1 species